UGUCACUGAGAAGAAUGACACUGUUACUUCAGGAAAAUGGGUGCUCACCUAUUUUUUGAUCAGGAAAGCGGCAGAUACCAGGGGUAGAAACUAUUGAUUUAAAACACUGGAGUUUGCUAAGUGGAAACAUAAAAUAGAGUCUGACAUCUGCCCUGUGGUGGAUGUUUGGAAGGAACUGUGCAUAUAAGCUUUGAUAUAAGGCCCCAAUAAACUACAUCAGUAACUCUGACAGUCGUAAGGCUUUGAAAUUCCUUGUGCACAAGUAGCUUCCAGCAUGCACGAUGUACCUUUCUGUCUCUCACA
rfam:Beta vulgaris subsp. vulgaris chromosome 7, whole genome shotgun sequence.